rnacentral:lncRNA from 1 species
AGCUAGAAUACUAUCGAUAGCAAACGGGCUCCGUUGCCACCCAUUUGUUUUCGAUGAUGGAGCCUCCAAAUCGACGAUCGGUACUGUCAAACAUGAUCUAUAUCACUUGAAGUGUCUAGAAAUCAAAUUUCAUACAUUUUCGAUAUUGUUUUCUUAUCAAUCGAGUGGACACAAAAAUGAGCGGCUAAAAAUAAAUAUUUUUUAAAAAAUGAUGAUAGGAGUCUUGUAAUCAAGAUCAAGAGUAUAUAUCUUGUUUUAAAUAGUUUAAAGAAUUUUCUAAUAAAAAUUCAAUUGAUUUGGAUAUCUUCAUGCCGUUAAACGAGAAAACGCCUCAUAUCGACUAUUAAAAUUACAAAUUUUGAAAACCUGUGAUCAUUAGGCAAAUGAUGUUGAAAAGAUUUGAAAUUUGAUUUCUAAACACUUCAAGUGGUAUACAUCAUGUUCAACGGUGCCGAUCGUCGAUUUGGGGGCUCUAUCAUCGAAAACAAAUGGAUGGCAACGAAGCCCAUUUGCUAUCGAUAGUAUUCUAGCUCAACUCUCUCUCUCUCUAUAUAUAUAUAUAUACACAUACAUACAUACAUACAUACAUACAUACAUACAUACAUAUAUAUAUAUAUAUAUAUAUAUAUAUAUACACAUACAUAUUUGAGAGAUAGGUAGCACGCUAUCCGCUUCGUUUAUUUUAUUUAAAAAUAAACUUAGCUGACAAUGUGAAUCAACUAGGAUUCGAACUUGGGACCUCGGGUACCAACCACAAAGCCCUUUGCCACUUGCUCUAGGGAUGGUCAGUAUGAUCUCUUAUAUUUCAAUCACAAUCUAUUUUCUAUUCUAUGAAAUUAUUCGUGUUAUAGACUCUCACUAAUUGGACCCUGAUGUCCUCAUUAGGCUUAAAUCGUGAAAUUAUUGAGACAUUACAAACUCCCUCCAGAUAGACUCCGAC